UACAGAGGUCUCAAGCGUUGUUCGGAAUUACUGGGCGUAAAGGGUGCGCAGGCCGCGCGGGCAGUCAAAUGUGUAAUCCAGGGGCUCAACCCCUGAACUGCGCUUGAUACUUCCGCGCUCGAGCUUUGGAGAGGAGUCUGGAAUUCUCGGUGUAGCAGUGAAAUGCGUGGAUAUCGAGAAGAACACUUAGGGCGUAGGCAAGACUCUGGACAAAUGCUGACGUCAUGCACGAAGGCUAGGGU
rnacentral:rRNA from 1 species